rnacentral:tRNA from 1 species
ACCGAGAUGGUGAAAUUGGUAGACACGCUAUCUUGAGGAGAUAGUGCCGAAUAGGCGUAUGGGUUCAAAUCCCAUUCUCGGUACUA